UUCAAGCUCAAGAGCCUAGUG
rnacentral:piRNA from 1 species